rnacentral:rRNA from 1 species
AUUGAACGCUGGCGGCAGGCCUAACACAUGCAAGUCGAGCGAGCGGCGGACGGGCGAGGAAUGUAUGGGGACUGCCCGAUAGAGGGGGAUAACUUCUGGAAAAGGUGGCUAAUCCCGCAUUUUCUCGGAUAACCUAUAUGGGACUAGCUAGUAGGCAGGGUAAAGGCUCACCUAGGAGACGCUCUCUAGCUGGUCUGAGAGGAUGAUCAGCCACACUGGGACUGAGACACGGCCCAGACUCCUACGGAGGCAGCAGUGGGGAAUAUUGCACAAUGGGCGCAAGCCUGAUGCAGCCAUGCCGCGUGUAUGAAGAAGGCCUUAGGGUUGUAAAGUACUUUCAGCAGGGAGGCGUUACCCACAGAAGAAGCACCGGCUAACUCCGUGCCAGCAGCCGCGGUAAUAC